CUGGGUGAUUUUCCGGGGCGCUCUCUUGGUUUUUAAUUCAUUUUUCCUCCGAGGAAAAGAUAACAAAACCAGGCGAGUCCCGUCGACCAAAGCAAGGCGAGUUUCAUCCCACAGCCGGCCCCCAUCCCAAGAGCAGGGUUCAAGCAGGGAAACACAUGGUCCAAUAGAGCCAUGCUGGGUCCACUCCUGGUUGGCCACUGAUCUUCUGCGAGUAUCAGUGGCCUAAACAUCAGAAAAGGAUUUGGAGGUGAGAAUGCAACACCACGACUGGGUCUGGAGCUACCUGCACCUGCAAAGGAAAAACGAUCUCAUCUGGACAACAGAACACAAAGACCCACCCCAUAGGGGUGCUCAUAGCCCAAGGCCCUGCUCUGAUGUAAUUGUAUCCAUCGUGGGAGAAGCCCCCUGUUGGACUUCAGUCUGACUCCAGCUGGUGUGGGGUCACCUGGGAGCUGCUGGGACUGUUCACAGCACUCCCAGCCUUACAGCGUUGGGGCCCAGAUGUCAGACUGGUUUUGACAGAUGGAUAAAGCAGCAGGGCAGAGGUGGGCAGGAGCACACAGGCAGGAAACAGACCGAGUUGUAGCACUGAGCAAGGAAAUCCAAAACGGACAGACACUAAUUCCCACACGUGCUUUAUCACUCAGGGUGAUGUAGGAUAGUAAUAAAGACA